GAAAUUUUCAAAGCGUUCCAUCAUAUUCGCUUCAAAUUCCUGUUUAUUUGUCUUCCGCGUCCAAAUUCGAGCGAUGAGCAGGAGCAGAAUUUGCCAAUUUGCUCAAUCCGCGACCUCUGCAACUGCUUUUAUCCUACAAACUUAACAAAUCGCAUCAAAUUCAUCGAGGUCUGAACUUGGCUGUGCAGCUACCCAGCUACUGCUCCAUCUUCCUGGACCGGGACCUCAAGUCAAGCUCUCUCUCUCUCUCUCACCCACCACCGGGCGCCCGUCGCGGCCGCAACAGGCCAGCCCAGCAGCAGCAGCAGCCAGGCAGCCAUGGUGGAGAGGCCGCAGCGGAGGAAGCCGCUGGUGCUCGCCUCCACGCAGGCGCUCCUCGACUCGCUCCCGGGGGACCGCCCGCCGCCGCCGCCGCCGCAGGAGCCGGUGCGCCUCCGGACCGGCGUCCUCCGCUUCCCGUCGGGGGGCGGCGCCGAGUUCGGGGAGCUCGCAACCUUCGUCGCCCUCCCCGCGCCAGCGCUCCGAAGGCUCGCGGUCGUCACCGGCACGCCUGUGCUUGUCAAGAAUGCUGACAAUAAUGUCGGGAGAAUUGUUAAAGCAAUAUUACUUGAUCACCCAUCUCUUGACGAGUCUGGGACAGAACAGACUGAUCAUGCGGCAUCUGCCUCUCCUCAUGGUCGUGCUAUGGGUAUCUUACCUUUUCGUUCGUUUCCUGCUACUGGUUUUGCAUCUGUGGAUGAAGAUAUCGCUUAUGUCAGCCCACUUUUGGCAUUCAACUUGGGAUUGCAUGUUUCUUGUCUGAAGCUUCUUAUCCAAAAAGGACAGGAGCCUUUCAAGUUUUGUUCUCGAUCUGAAGAGCUUCAUUCUGCUUCCAAUGCUGGGAGUGAUCUUUCCCUUCACUUAGACCUUCUUCCAUGCGCUCAAGUUCCUAAAUAUGCUUCACAUUUACGGAUUUCUGUUGUGAGGAUUCCUGAAUGUGGUGUGCUUGCUUCUUUAAAGAUAAAUUCAUCCUUUGGAGAAAGUGACUACCAAGACAUGGUGGAUCAAGCUUUGAACGAGUACUUUAAGUUUGAUAGGUUCCUAGCAAGAGGGGAUGUCUUUUGCAUACGGAACAAUUGGAAUUGUGGCAUGAGCUCCUGUCUAGCAUGCAAUAGGCAGGAUGAUAAUUUGCGUCCUCGUAAUAUGAUCUACUUUAAGGUGACAAGCAUGGAACCAUCAGAUGAACCUAUUCUUCGUGUUAAUUGCAAUGAGACAGCCCUUGUGCUUGGGGGAGCUGCUUCUGCUGCAAUCCCCCCUUACUCCUUCUUUGCUGCUUCUGGUGACCCACUUCCUUUGCAUGGUGAAAUAGUGGAGCAUUUAGCCUCUAUCAUUGCCCCAGCAUUAUGCCCUUCAGAUAUAUUACCUAAAAUCAAGUUUUCCACUUUUAUAUACGGCCCUUCAGGAUGCGGAAAGCGCACAGUGGUGAGGCAUGUUGCUAGCCAUCUUGGUCUGCACGUGGUUGAGUGUAGCUGUCAUGAUCUCAUGACUUCGUCAGAAAGUGGUGCACCUGCUGCACUUACAGCUGCCUUCAAAGAAUCUCAGAAGUAUUCCCCUUGUAUAAUGCUUCUUCGACACUUUGAUGCAAUUGGGAAUGCAUCCUCCAAUGAGGACCCAGAAUCUGAGCAAUCUGGGAUUGCGUCAAACAUUGAAUCUGUUAUCAAGCAGUACACUGGACAAAGUUGGGUUGCUACGGACUCGAUGCCAGGAAGAGAUGUAAAUGGGAGCUCAUACCCUGUGGAGCCUGAAUAUGUAAGCUCUCUUCAGAUUAUACUAGUUGCAACUGCAGACAGUUCUGAAGGAAUGCAACAAUCAAUUAGGCGAUGUUUCCGCCAUGAGAUUGACAUGAAGACUAUGAAUGAAGAGCAGAGAAAGAAACUGAUAUCUGAGACACUUCAAGGCAUUGCAACAGUUGCAGAUGAGAGUAUUGAUGACAAGUUCGUAAAAGACUUAGCAGCACAAACGUCAGGAUUCAUGUCGAGGGACAUACUUGCACUGGUUGCAGAUUCUGGUGUGUCUUUUGCACAUAAAAUUGCAGCAGAGAAAGAUAGCAAAGGAAUCAGUGAUCAUGAGGAGAUCCUUCCAGAAAGCUCUUCUGCCACUCAAAAUGAGGAAAUACAUUUCUGCAAAGAAGAUAUUCUGUGUUCCUUGGAACGAGCUAAGAAAAGGAAUCGUGCUGCACUGGGCACACCCAAAGUUCCCAAUGUCAAAUGGGAGGAUGUUGGUGGGCUAGAGGAAGUGAAAAAGGUUAUUCUAGAUACUAUUCAGUUGCCACUGAUGUACAAACACCUUUUUUCUUCUAAAUUGCGGAAGCGGUCAGGUGUCCUGCUUUAUGGACCUCCAGGAACAGGGAAGACCUUAUUGGCGAAAGCAGUAGCUACUGAAUGCUCGUUGAACUUUCUUAGCGUGAAAGGUCCAGAACUGAUAAACAUGUAUGUUGGAGAAUCAGAGAAGAAUGUUAGGGACAUUUUUGAGAAGGCUAGAUCUGCACGCCCAUGUGUCAUUUUCUUUGAUGAGCUUGAUUCCCUAGCUCCAGCACGAGGAUCCUCGGCAGAUUCUGGUGGUGUUAUGGACAGAGUUGUUUCCCAGUUACUUGUGGAGAUAGAUGGGUUGAGCGAUAACAGCCAGGACCUUUUCAUUAUUGGGGCUACCAAUAGGCCCGACCUUCUUGAUUCUGCUCUUCUUCGCCCUGGACGGUUUGAUAAGCUUCUCUAUGUUGGUGUAAUAACUGAUGCAUCAUACAGGGAAAGGAUCCUUAAAGCACAGACGCGCAAAUAUAAGCUCCACAGUAAUGUUUCUCUCUUGUCAGUUGCUCAGCGUUGUCCUCCAAACUUUACCGGUGCCGAUAUUUAUGCACUGUGUGCGGAUGCAUGGUUUCAUGCAGCAAAGAGAUCCGUUAAAACAUUUGAAAUUGAUCCUUCAAGAAAUAACGAUGCCAGCGCAGAAGAGGUCAUUGUUGAGAUUGAUGAUUUUAUGACGGUAUUAGGAGAUAUAUCACCAUCACUAUCACUGGAGGAGCUUCAGAACUACGAACAGUUGAGGCAGAAGAUUGAAGGGCCUUCUAGAUGAUGACGUUAGCAGUAAUAUAUUAUUUCUCAUUAAUGAUUUUGUCCGACCAGAGACACCCAAGUGCUUGUUUUGACAGAUGGUGCCAUGACUAUAAGUGCCCACUGCUGAUGAGUGAUGGAUGUGGACGUUUUUCUAGUUCCACCAUGUGCUGGAUUUAUCCGGUUACAUCUUUAUCGGCUGAUUUGUAUUACACCAGCUUCAAUUUUUUUAAAGAGAGGCUACCUUCUUAUAUAUCUAGGUUUUAAUGAGAUGACCGAGUAGAUUUUACCAAAUGAUAUGAAUCUAUUUUGCACAAUUGCAUUUGAAACUGCGCUUUGUGCUUAAGAGAAGAAGACAGUGCACAGUUGCAUUUGUCCCAGUA